UACAGAGGGGGCAAGCGUUGUUCGGAAUUACUGGGCGUAAAGGGCGCGUAGGCGGCCUUCUAAGUCGAACGUGAAAUCCCCGGGCUCAACCCGGGAACUGCGUCCGAUACUGGAAGGCUUGAAUCCGGGAGAGGGAUGCGGAAUUCCAGGUGUAGCGGUGAAAUGCGUAGAUAUCUGGAGGAACACCGGUGGCGAAGGCGGCUCACUGGCCCGAUACUGACGCUGAGGUGCGAAAGCGUGGGGAGCAAACAGG
rnacentral:rRNA from 1 species